UCCAUACCUUGUUACCUCUAAAUGUGAUGGGGUUAGUGAUUGAUAUUCUUAUGAGAAACAAAGACCUCUUUUCCUUCUCUUGCAUGCUGUACUUUCUAGGGUACAAAGGCAUGACUACUAUAUAGAAAAAUGUUCAUCAUGAGUUUAUAUAUAAUAAAAGGGAGAGAUGUAGAGCCCACAAGUGUAAAUAAAGUUUAAAUGUGCAAAGAGUCAGAAGGAAGUCAGCAUGGUCAGGAGACACAGCAGCAUGAUCAGAAGCAUUCUCCAAAGGAGGUGUCAAUUUCUGGCCCCCAAAAUGCAUGACUAUGAGGUAUAAGCUUGUGGAUCAUGGUCUAAGACAUUAUGAUUAUUUCAGGCCAUCUGGACACUCCACUGCUACCAUCCAGGCUCAACCUGUCAUGCAUUAGGUUGAUGAAGUUCAGCACAGGGAUGGAUCUGGUUUUGCUCCAGGAACUACCUCCGCUGGUCCAGAGAGAGACACAGCGAGAGAGGGAACACAACCAGGGGGAGAGGGAGAAGGAGAAGCAGGCUUCCCGCCGAGCAGGGAGCCCGAUGCGAGGCUUGAUCCAUGACCUGAGCCGAAGGCAGAUGCUUAACGACUGAGCCACCCAGGCACCCCAAAAACACUCUUCUAUGUACAACCCAAACCCCCUGGGGUUUAAGUUCAAGGGGCCACUUCAAUCAACGGAAUGAAGCCAAGGGGUAAGUGCUUUCCAUUUUUGCCUCCUAGGUCAACCGUUCUGACAU